rnacentral:rRNA from 1 species
UGGAGCAUGUGGUUAAUUCGAAGCAACGCGGAGAACCUUACCAGGGCUUGACAUCCCUUGAAGCAGCUAGAGAUAGCUGUGUCCUUCGGGACAAGGAGACAGGUGGUGCAUGGUUGUCGUCAGCUCGUGUCGUGAGAUGUUGGGUUAAGUCCCGCAACGAGCGCAACCCCUGUGGUUAGUUGCCAGCAAGUAGCGUUGGGCACUCUAGCCAGACUGCCGGUAAUAAACCGGAGGAAGGUGGGAUGACGUCAAAUCAUCAUGCCCCUUAUGACCUGGGCUACACACGUGCUACAAUGGUUGGUACAACGAGUUGCGAGUCGGUGACGGCGAGCUAAUCUCUUAAAGCCAAUCUCAGUUCGGAUUGUAGGCUGCAACUCGCCUACAUGAAGUCGGAAUCGCUAGUAAUCGCGGAUCAGCACGCCGCGGUGAAUACGUUCCCGGGCCUU